UACGUAGGUGACCAGCGUUGUCCGGAUUUACUGGGCGUAAAGAGCGCGCAGGCGGUCGUUCAAGUCGAGUGUGAAAGCCCCCGGCUCAACUGGGGAGGGGCACUCGAUACUGAUCGACUUGAAGGCAGGAGAGGGAAGCGGAAUUCCCGGUGUAGUGGUGAAAUGCGUAGAUAUUGGGAGGAACACCAGUGGCGAAGGCGGCUCACUGGACUGGUACUGACGCUGAGGCGCGAAAGCGUGGGGAGCAAACGGG
rnacentral:rRNA from 1 species